UUAACAGAGCCUUGGCCACACAUCUCGGGAGGUGCCUCCACUUAUGCCCAGUCCAACCUCUGUAGUAAACAGCAUGAGUGCUCAAUCUACAGCAGAGUGGCCUGGAACAAAGCAGGUACUUUUUUAAACACCAGAGCAAGACCCUCCAGGAACCUGCCUUGUGGUAGACCCGUAAAAGGAACCUCCAUUUCAUGCCAUGGUGCUUCGAGGACCGUACCAGCCUUGCAGUACCACAACAUGGACUGAGCUGGAGGCAUCUAAAGGCAUCAACACAGAGCACUAACAAGAACGAUGUAACAGCUCAGCUGUUCCAUCUUAACCGCCUCCUAACAAGCAGGUCCUGGGUGCCUCUGACAGGUGACAAAAUGCCCUGCCAACUCUAUGGAAAGACUGUGCUGCUGCUCUUAAAAGAGGUGGGAUGUGGAGAAAACACUCCAAAGUCCAUCGUUUGGGAACACAAAGGCUCUCACUUUGCUUUUUGCCUAGCAGCAAGCACCUCUCUUGCUGUGGAGAUCAGGGGUAAGGCCCUGAGCAGGGCUAAGAUGGGUUUAGGGUUCCCCAGGUCACAGGGUACAUAGCCUGGAUUUGCCAAAGUCUGGCAAGGGAAAAUGCCGAUGAGGCUCUUACUGGCAGUAGUUUUCUCCCCUUCCUAUCCAGAAAACCCUCUGCAGGGAUAAACUAGCUUCUGAAACCAA